rnacentral:misc_RNA from 1 species
CCGAGUUUACAACUCCCAAACCCAAUGUGAACCAUACCAAACUGUUUGCCUCGGCGGGGUCACGCCCCGGGUGCGUCGCAGCCCCGGAACCAGGCGCCCGCCGGAGGGACCAACCAAAACUCUUUCUGUAGUCCCCUCGCGGACGUUAUUUCUUACAGCUCUGAGCAAAAAAUUCAAAAUGAAUCA